AGCAGCGCGCGGUAAUACGUAGGGCGCAAGCGUUAUCCGGAAUUAUUGGGCGUAAAGAGCUCGUAGGCGGUUUGUCGCGUCUGCCGUGAAAGUCCGGGGCUCAACUCCGGAUCUGCGGUGGGUACGGGCAGACUAGAGUGAUGUAGGGGAGACUGGAAUUCCUGGUGUAGCGGUGAAAUGCGCAGAUAUCAGGAGGAACACCGAUGGCGAAGGCAGGUCUCUGGGCAUUAACUGACGCUGAGGAGCGAAAGCAUGGGGAGCGAACAGGAUUAGAUACCCUGGUAGUCCAUGCCGUAAACGUUGGGCACUAGGUGUGGGGGACAUUCCACGUUUUCCGCGCCGUAGCUAACGCAUUAAGUGCCCCGC
rnacentral:rRNA from 1 species